rnacentral:rRNA from 1 species
UACGUAGGGUGCGAGCGUUAAUCGGAAUUACUGGGCGUAAAGCGUGCGCAGGCGGUUCGUUGUGUCGGCGGUGAAAGCCCCGGGCUCAACCUGGGAAUGGCCGUUGAAACUGGCGAACUGGAGUGUGGCAGAGGGGGGGUGGAAUUCCGCGUGUAGCAGUGAAAUGCGCAGAUAUCAGGAGGAACACCGGUGGCGAAGGCGGUUCUCUGGGCAACAACUGACGCUGAGGAGCGAAAGCUAGGGGAGCGAACGGG